rnacentral:lncRNA from 1 species
CUCAUCGACCUAGUAUAAGAGACACACCAACGUACGUACACUCAUAUGUGUUAGAGGCACUUUCAGUUUGGCAUUCAUUCAGUUCACAAAGAGAUCCAUUUAAAGACUUUACAACGUACGUACACUCAUAUGUGUUAGAGGCACUUUCAGUUUGGCCUUCAUUCAGUUCACAAAGAGAUCCAUUUAAAGACUUUACAGAAGAAAAAUGACAGGAUGAAAACUGUGCCUCGAGGAGAUUAAACUGGAAGCAGAAGGUAUCAACCCAGGCCAUGGAGCUGAAUGGAGAAGAAAUGCCUUCCAUCCCUUCCAACCAUUUGGCUUCUCCAGUCCCUCACCUCAAGCAAACCUCAUCAAGGUUUUCCGAUUUCCAGACCCAGGUCCUGAGCAACUAUGUAAAUGCAAACAAACACUGGUGAUGACUGUAAGGUAUGGUGAUCACCCCUCUUCCACCCAAUUAACAACCUUCAGGAGAAAAAAAUAGAGGAAGGAGAGGAGUGUUUGCUGGUUGCAGCUCUCUAGGAAUAGCCAAGGAGUUGGCAAAGGAAGCUCACUCUCCCUGCUGCUUCUGCCUCUGAAGAUAUACAAUAAAAUAGUUUGGAGAUUACAAAACUAAAAGACUGUUACAUGCUCCUGCCAAGGUCAUCUAUAUCUGGAAAUCAAUAGAAUUUCAUGAGUUACCAUCAUACAUACACUGAUUAUACUGCAGUAGACUCUCAGUGUGUAGCUAUGGCUACAGAUCCUUGGGAAAUCUAAAAUUCACAACACAUAUAUCUUUGUAAAGACCCUUGACUUUUCAUAGACAUAAUUUCUGUCCAGAAUCUCAUGUUCUGUGAAUAUAUCCUUCCAUCACAUUACAAAGAGAAAUGUUUAAAUCAUUUAACAAAAAGCUAUACAAUAACAAAUGGAGAAUGUAAAAAAGAUUAAUAUUUAGAUGCUGGGUGCUUGGCUAGCUUCACUUGUCAUUUAAUAACUUAGUCCUACACAUCAGCCUCAUGGUGCAUAUUACUCACAUACCUUAAAUUGUAAAAAAUCAGAUAUCAUGAUCUUCAAGGUUAUUUGCAAAUGGUAAGUCCUCCAAGGCCAAAUUCACAAAUAGAAAGGGUUUGUUGUAUUAAGAGCCAAACUUCCACUGCAUCCCACCAUGUUAUACUAAGAUUCUUAGUUAAUACAAACCUAUACUUAAACACAGUGGUGAUGGUUAUAGGAACGGGUAGCAAAUAAAUAUCAAGAUAAGUUCUUAAUAGUAACUGAAACAGCAUAGUGCUGGUAUAAAAAUAGAUGCACAGAUCAAUGGAACAGAACAAAGAAC